rnacentral:rRNA from 1 species
UAAAACGUAGGUGGCGAGCGUUAUCCGGAUUCAUUGGGCGUAAAGAGCUUGUAGGUGGUGCGAUAAGUUGGACGUGAAAACUUCGGGCUUAACUUGGAGAGGCCGUUCAAUACUGUUGUGCUAGAGGGCGUCAGAGGGAAGUGGAAUUCCUGGUGUAGCAGUGAAAUGCGUAGAUAUCAGGAGGAACACCCGUGGCGAAGGCGGCUUCCUGGGACGUACCUGACACUGAGAAGCGAAAGCUAGGGGAGCAAACGGG